rnacentral:rRNA from 1 species
GCUAUUGGAGUUCGAUUAAGCCAUGCGAGUCGAGAGUCCUCGGGACUCGGCGUACCGCUCAGUAACACGUGGGUAACCUGCCCUAUGCUGGGGAAUAACCUCGGGAAACUGAGAAUAAUGCCCCAUAGCCCACUACGCCUGGAACGGUGAGUGGGUCAAAGCUCCGGCGGCAUAGGAUGGGCCUGCGCCGUAUCAGGUUGUAGGGGGUGUAAAGUACCCUCUAGCCAUCAACGCGUACGGGUGUUGGGAGACAUUGCCCGGAGAUGGAUUCUGAGACACGAAUCCAGACCCUACGGGGUGCAGCAGGCGCGAAAACUUGGCAAUGCGAGCAAUCGUGACCAGGGAACUCCAAGUGCGUAGGGUAAGACCUACGCUUUUCUUGACUCUUCAAAGGUCUUGGAAUAAGGGGUGGGUAAGGACGGUGCCAGCCGCCGCGGUAAUACCGGCGCCUCAAGUGGUAGUCGCUUUUAUUGGGCCUAAAACGUCCGUAGCCGGUCUGGUGCAUUCGUGGGUAAAUCAACCCGCUCAACGGGUUGAAUUCUGCGAGCACGGCCAGACUUGGGACCGGGAGAGGUGUGGGGUACUCUCAGGGUAGGGGUAAAAUCCUGUCAUCCUGAGAGGACCACCUGUUGCGAAGGCGCCACACUAGAACGGAUCCGACGGUCAGGGACGAAACCUAGGGGCACGAACCGGAUUAGAUACCCGGGUAGUCCUAGGUGUAAACGCUGUGGACUUGAUGUUGGGGGCGCUCCGAGCGCUCUCAGUGUCGAAGCGAAGGUGAUAAGUCCACUGCCUGGGGAGUACGGUCGCAAGGCUGAAACUUAAAGGAAUUGGCAGGGGAGCACUGC